GGGGGGUUUGGGGGGUUUUUGGAUGGUGAAUCCAUAAAUAUCAAUAGAGAAGCCAAAAAGAAUGACCGCAUAUGCAGAAGAUGUUCAAAGAGGAAAAAUAAAGGGAAAUAGAGAUCAUUAGGAUUUACAAGACCGUAAGACCCCAACAUUCUAUAAUUUUAUAGUUCUGCAGAACAGAAAUAGAGGUUUUUCUUUUCCCCUUCAUAACAGUGGCACACUUAAAAGGGACAAUGAAGGAAAAAAAUUGAAAACCAAUGAAACCAGAGAAGAUUAGAAAACCAUUUCAAUGUCAUCUCUUUCCUCCUUUAAGACACCCAUAA
rnacentral:misc_RNA from 1 species